CGUGCAGGUGGUUCGGUAAGUUGGAUGUGAAAGCUCCGUGGCUCAACUAGGAGAGGUCGUUCGAAAAACUACCGGACUUGAGAGCAGUAGAGGGAGGUGGAAUUCCCGGUGUAGUGGUGAAAUGACGUAGAUAUCGGGAGGAACGACCAGUGGCGAAAGCGGCCUCCUGGACUGUUUCUGACACUCAGACGCGAAAGCUAGGGUAGCAAACGGGGAUUAGAGACCCGGUAGUCCUAGCUGUAAACGAUGUGAACUAGGCGUCGGCGGGUUCAAAGCCGUCGGUGCCGUAGCCAACGCGAUAAGUUCACCACCUGGGGACUACGGCCGCAAGGUUAA
rnacentral:rRNA from 1 species